rnacentral:lncRNA from 1 species
GGAGAGAGUUUAUAAUAUGAGAGGAAACUUGCCGCCAAGUUCACCAAUAACGUGGGUAUGCAGUUUUUUAGGUUUUGGGUAAUUGGCAAUUCAAGCCUUUCAUAGUUUGGUGGUUUUGUCCGUAAUUUGUUUUACUUCAGUCCAUGCACGUAUAAUUUUAAUUUUAAUUCAGUUUGAAUCACAUGCUUAUUUACUUUUGAUAUUUGUUGAGUGACAUCUUUAUAUAUUUGUGUAAUUUAAAUUUAUAUCAGUGUCGUUAAUGUGUUAAGUGACACUAUUUAAAAAAAAUUAUUAUAAUGAUUGGCAGCUUGGCGACAACCAAUAAUACUCUAUAAAAGACUCCAUUUUCAUUAAUAAUUUAAAUGAUAUAUCAUUCUCGUAAUUAUUUUUUUUAUUUUGAAAAAAAUCUCGACUAUUUUCUUUCUCAUUCUGAUUAGCUUACUGUAGCCAUUAAUUGCAAUGUCAUUAUUGGUCAAAAAAUAUUUUAUUUGAUAAACUAUGAGAUAAAUUAUAAUUAGAGAAAGACAAACAAUAUAAGAGUUAUAAAUUUUUUUAGUAUUUUUCAUAUUCUUUUUACGGUUUAUAUUUAGCGUUUGUGACUUUUCUUCCAAACAUAUUACUUAAUUUUAUUAAGGAAAAACUUGAAUAAGAGAUCUCAAACCUAAAAUAGGAGUAAUUUUGUAGUUACUAAACCCUGCAGCAAAAAAUAGUUUAGCCCAUUCUUCUUCUUGUCUCUCUUUUCCGGUCACCAAAACCAUCAUCAGCAUAUCGAAGAAGAGCUGCGUUUCUGUCGAGUUGAAGGCUUCACCAUUCAUUUUCUCAUUCUUCAUCAAUACCAUAUCUAUUAUCAUCACCUUUCCUCCCUUCUUGUUUUGUCUUGAAAUUGCCUCCUUACAUCGCUUCAAAAUCUUCAAGCAUUCAUCAUCAUUCCAAUCAUGCAAUAUCCACUGUUUAAUUAACACAAAAGCAUAACCCAUUCAUUGAUCAAAAUGAUAUGAUUAUAUCUAUUGCACAUUAUUGUGAAAACAGAGAUAAUUGAUAAAAGAUUUAGCAAAAAACCUUUAGUAAACUUGCAUCUGAAGCUGGAAUUUCCUUAAACAUGUCACCUGCAACAUAUUUCAAGUUCCCACUAUCUUGUAAGUUAGCAACAACAUGAGGAAGAUCAAGCACAAUACACUCCAAGUGUGGAAACGCAUCAACAAUGGCCUUGCUCAAUGUUCCGGUACCACCUCCAACAUCCACCAAAGAAUUCAAUCCCUCGAACACCUUUUUGCACUUGUCAAUAAGAAUGCUAUUAACCAAUCGAGCAUCGCUAGCCAUUCCUUCAUUAAACAAACUGUUUAGCUUUUGGUCAUGUCCGGCAUAGUCCCAGAAUGUCUUUCCGUGUGUGGUAUCAAAUGGAGUAUGAUCAUUAUUUUUGAACCAGGUGCCUAAACAAUGCCAAGGCUCUGUUAAAAUAGGAUCCAACAUAGCUUUCAAAAAAGGUGUUACGCUUAAGGGAUUAUCCUUAAGUAGCAGACGAGAAGCAUUCGUAAGAACAUAACCAUCUUCUUGAGCAUCAUUGCAUAAAUUUCGUUGUGCAAAGAAUCCCGAAUGAACCAAAAUACGCAUGAGCCGGUAGAUGUUGCAUGCCUUGGUAGGGUUGAGCAUUGGCAGUGCAGCAACCAACUCAGUAAUGGUCAUGGGCUUGCCAUGAUUUUGAAUAAUAUCUGGGAUACCUAAAUCAAUUGCACAUUUGAGAGACAUGGAAUUUAUGAAAUUGAAAAUGUGGUUCCAAACGUGAGCUUGAGCUUGAAGUAGCUCAUUAACAUGCUCUCCGUUCGCAUUCACCAUAUCCAUCUUAGCCAAGGUCUUUCGGCCUUGCUCUGAACCCACGUAACACUGGAAUUUGCUAUUUAUAGACCGUGAAACAUAUCUGUAAGUAUGUCUUUGCUCUGAAUCCGCACAGCACUGAACUUUUCUAUUUAUUGAAUAUUUUUAUGCCCUUUCGUGGCCAUUGGUUCCCAUGCUGGAACGUCUCAAUAAUGGAGUUAAAUCUGUUCAUUGUAGUUUAUUAAAUGCUAAAGUUACAUAUUUUAUGUAAUUAAAUUGGUUAAUUUAUGAGAGCGCACCACUAAUUUUUUCAUGUUUAUAUUGAAUUUUGUGUAGGGAUGCAAUUUGGGGCUAAAUAGAAGAAAAAGGAAACAAUUGGGCUAGAUUGAAGAAAUAAGCAAAGAAGGAGGGCCAAAGCAGAAUUUUUCCAAGAUUAAUUAGCUGAAAUUUUUGUUGACUUAGUGGGAGAUUAUGUUGGGAUUUUUUGUAUAUCAUGGAAUAUUUUUCCUUAAUUUUCUAUGACUAGUUGGCUCCUAAUUUAGUAAAGUCACUAGUAUAAAUAGAGGCUACAUUGUUCAUUUAUUCAUCAAGCAAGAAAUCAAGCUUUCAUCCUUUUAUACAUUCUCUCCUCUCUACCAACAAAUUUAUUUGUAGUAUUUAGUUUCCUUUACUUUCAAUUCCUUUCCAGCUUGUUACCUCUUAGACCAUUUACAAUUAAUUUUUCAAACUUUCUUUUCACUCCCAGUAGCUAACCCACUUUAAUACAUCACCAAAAUUCCAGCCCCUCAUACUCGAUCACGCCACCCAUCUUUUUCACCCAUUUUUACCUUAUUUAAUUUAUCCAAUACCAACAUGCCCCAAACCUUAGCCAACUAAAUCUAUUUUCAACUUUAGGUCGGAAUUAGCCUCGUCAAGACCCGUGAGUUACGAACCCGAGCAAAUUAACUCCUAAAUUCCAAUACUUAUUCUUUCUCCGGAUUAAGAGUAUGAUUUUGUCAACUCACAAAGUCAGAUCAACAUUAAGCCAAAAAAGACUUGAUUUAGUGUGGUUAGACGUACAGUUGGAAUUCCGAAAGGAUUGAUUCUAAUCGGUUUUUUGUAAACACAUUGGCGUGCCAAGUGGAGAUUGUUGUUUGGUUCCGUCAAGGGAAGUAGUAACUGGAUUUAAAUGUCCCACGCGGUUGAGGGCAUUAGUUCGAGCUAGGCUCUUCUAGAACGCAAAGCUACCAGAGUUCUAAAUCACGAACGUUUCGUGGUUGUUCGAUCGGUAAGGGUUAGUUAUUGGACGUUCCAUAACUAAUUUGCACAAGGAAGAGUUGGUGUCCGAGGCGUCCUUGGUAGCUAUAACUAGCUUAUUGGAAAAGAGGAGUUCAUCUAAUUUCGAGGAUCGGUUUAAAGACGAGGAAAAAUCCGUGCCUAAAGCUGAGCUUAUUCUAAUUAUUUUUUCUUCAAAUUUAUUUAACUAUUUUUUAUUAGUUCAUUUUCAACUUUUACUUUUUACGCGUUUUAUUUAUUUAUUUCAGGUUCCAGGUUUUUGAUUUUAUCCUCCCCCUAAUAUCUUGGGCACGACAACUGCCCCGACAUAGAUCUGGUCAAGAGAGCAACAAUUUGCAGUAAACCCAGUCUCUGAGGGAUCGACCCUACUCCCUAUACUGCUUAAAUUGCAAAUUAGGCGUAGGUUUAUAUUGGUGGACUCGACUCCCAUCAGUAGUAAUAGUAAAUGAGUUGUAGUAUUAGUAAAUGAGCCCAAUGCUACCAUAAAUAAAUAUAUAAAAAUAGAAUGUCGUUAAUGACAAUAUAUCGCAAAGAAAAUAGAAAUAAAAAUAAAGAACACACAGAUUUUUACGUGAAAGCCUUUUCGGAAAAAAACCACGGCCAGAGUAGAAGAAAAUUCACUAUGUCGAAUUCGACUAAUUACAAUAUGAGUAAACUAUGUCUAUUUAUAAGCUUGUAAAACCAUAUUCUAAUAGGAGUGUAGUAAGAUUGAAAC